rnacentral:tRNA from 1 species
GGAGGGGCAAGCCGACGUGGCGACGGCGCUCGUCUCGAAAACGAGUGAUCACGAGAGUGACUUGAGAGUUCGACUCUCUCCCCCUCCU